rnacentral:rRNA from 1 species
UACAGAGGUCUCAAGCGUUGUUCGGAUUCAUUGGGCGUAAAGGGCGCGUAGGCUGCGGGGCAAGUCGGGUGUGAAAUCUCAGAGCUCAACUCUGUAACUGCACUCGAUACUGCUUUGCUUGAGGACUGGAGAGGAGAUUGGAAUUCACGGUGUAGCAGUGAAAUGCGUAGAUAUCGUGAGGAAGACCAGUGGCGAAGGCGGAUCUCUGGACAGUUCCUGACGCUGAGGCGCGAAGGCCAGGGGAGCAAACGGG